UGGGGAAUAUUGGACAAUGGGCGCAAGCCUGAUCCAGCCAUGCCGCGUGUGUGAAGAAGGCCUUUUGGUUGUAAAGCACUUUAAGCGAGGAGGAGGCUACCUGUAUUAAAUACUAUAGGAUAGUGGACGUUACUCGCAGAAUAAGCACCGGCUAACUCUGUGCCAGCAGCCGCGGUAAUACAGAGGGUGCGAGCGUUAAUCGGAAUUACUGGGCGUAAAGCGCGCGUAGGCGGUUUGUUAAGUCGGAUGUGAAAUCCCCGGGCUCAACCUGGGAAUUGCAUUCGAUACUGGCAAGCUAGAGUAUGGGAGAGGAAGGUAGAAUUCCAGGUGUAGCGGUGAAAUGCGUAGAGAUCUGGAGGAAUACCGAUGGCGAAGGCAGCCUUCUGGCCUAAUACUGACGCUGAGGUGCGAAAGCAUGGGGAGCAAACAGGAUUAGAUACCCUGGUAGUCCAUGCCGUAAACGAUGUCAACUAGCCGUUGGGGGAUUUGAUCCUUUAGUGGCGCAGCUAACGCGAUG
rnacentral:rRNA from 1 species